rnacentral:rRNA from 1 species
AACGAACGCUGGCGGCAGGCUUAACACAUGCAAGUCGAACGGGUGUAGCAAUACAUCAGUGGCAGACGGGUGAGUAACACGUGGGAACCUUCCUCGGGGUACGGAACAACUCAGGGAAACUUGAGCUAAUACCGUAUACGUCCGUGAGGAGAAAGAUUUAUCGCCCUGAGACGGGCCCGCGUCGGAUUAGCUAGUUGGUGGGGUAACGGCCUACCAAGGCGACGAUCCGUAGCUGAUCUUAGAGGAUGAGCAGCCACACUGGGACUGAGACGCGGCCCAGACUCCUACGGGAGGCAGCAGUGGGGAAUCUUGGACAAUGGGCGCAAGCCUGAUCCAGCCAUGCCGCGUGAGUGAAGAAGGUCUUCGGAUUGUAAAGCUCUUUUGCCAGGGACGAUAAUGACGGUACCUGGAGAAUAAGCCCCGGCAAACUUCGUGCCAGCCGCCGCCGUAACAC